GCAUCGGUGGUUUAGUGGUAAAAUUAGCCGUUGCCAAGUCUCCAAUACGAUUAUCAUCGUUAGGAGCCCAGUUUCGGCUAGCCCCGGGUUCGAUUCCCGGCCGAUGCA